UCUGGUGCCAGCAGCCGCGGUAAUUCCAGCUCCAGUAGCGUAUAUUAAAGUUGUUGCGGUUAAAAAGCUCGUAGUCCGAACUGUGUCUCGCGCCGUCGGUUCGUCGCCCGUCGGCGAAACCGUUUGGUUACAUCAGUGGGAUGUCCAGCCGGUGGUGCGCCGGUCUCGUGUGCUCACCCUCGGGUGGCACGCUUGGUGCCGGCCCCAUGUCUACCUGUCUCGGUGCUCUUAAUCGAGUGUCUUGACGGGCCGGUUCGUUUACUUUGAACAAAUUAGAGUGCUCAAAGCAGGCAUAUACGCUUGAAUAUUGUGUGCAUGGAAUAAUACAACAGGACCUCGACACUAUUUUGUUGGUUUUCUGUGUCAGAGGUAAUGAUAAAUGGGUACGGACGGAGGUGUCUGUAUUGCUACGUUAGAGGUGAAAUUCUUGGAUUGCCGCAAGACGAACAAGUGCGACAGCAUUUGCCGAGAAUGCUUUCAUCAAUCAAGAACGAAAGUUAGAGGUUCGAAGGCGAUCAGAUACCGCCCUAGUUCUAACCAUAAACAAUGCCAACCAGCGAUCCGUCGAUGUUCCUCCGAUGACUCGACGGGCAGCUUCCGGGAAACCAAAGUUUUUGGGUUCCGGGGGAAGUAUGGUUGCAAAGCUGAAACUUAAAGGAAUUGACGGAAGGGCACCACCAGAGUGGAGCCUGCGGCUUAAUUUGACUCAACACGGGAAACCUCACCAGGCCCAGACACUGGCAGGAUUGACAGAUUGAUAGCUCUUUCUUGAUUCAGUGGGUGGUGGUGCAUGGCCGUUCUUAGUUGGUGGAGCGAUUUGUCUGGUUAAUUCCGAUAACGAACGAGACUCUGGCCUACUAACUAGUCGCGAAACGACAUCCGCAUUCGUGCUGUCGGCGACAAUAUGAACUCUUCUUAGAGGGACAAGCGGCUCCUAGCCGCACGAGAUUGAGCAAUAACAGGUCUGUGAUGCCCUUAGAUGUUCUGGGCAGCACGCGCGCUACACUGAAGGAAUCAACGUGUGCACAUCCUUGUCCGAGAGGACCGGGUAACCCGCUGAACCUCCUUCGUGCUAGGGAUUGGGGCUUGCAAUUAUUUCCCAUAAACGAGGAAUUCCCAGUAAGCGCUGGUCAUUAGCUCGCAUUGAUUAAGUCCCUGCCCUUUGUACACACCGCCCGUCGCUACUACCGAUUGAAUGAUUUAGUGAGGUCUUUGGACCGUCGCGCGGCUAUGGCGUCAGCUUGCCGUCGAUGUCGAUGGGAAGAUGCUCAAACUUGACUAUUUAGAGGAAGUAAAAGUCGUAACAAGGUUUCCCG
rnacentral:rRNA from 1 species